UUUGCAGGUAAUAACCCACCACCAAAGCCAUGGGAGCGUGUUGGGACUUCAUCUGGUCCAGCGCCUUUCAAACCCCCAUCUGGAGGCAGCACUAGUGACGUUGUUGAGGCCUCUGGGACAGCAAAACCUGGGGAAGUUGUUUCUGCUUCACAGAGCAAUGCUGCUUUCAACGUGAACAAUACAGUUGCAGGGCCUGUGCCCCCGCGUCCCUGGCAGCAGCAAGGAUACGGAAAUACUUAUGGGGGUUAUGGUGCCAGUACCUAUAAUUCAUAUGGUGGAUUUGGUGGGGCUUAUAGUAACGGUGGGCUAUACGGAAAUAAUAACAUGUAUUCAGGGUUUGGAGGUGGUUACGGCAGUUCAUACAGGGGCUCUGGAAUGUAUGGUGGGUCAAUGUAUAAUAACGGGAUGGGAAAUCCAUACGGUGGUAUGGGCAUGUCUCCUUACAAUCAGGGUCCUAAUUCAUUUGGUCCUCCAGCACCACCCCCAGGUUUCUGGGUGUCCUUCCUACGAGUGAUGCAUGGGAUUGUGAAUUUCUCUGGACGAGUUGCUUUCCUUAUCAGCCAGAAUACUCAGGCAUUCCACAUGUUCAUCACAGCUCUUUUGCAGCUAUGUGAUAAGUCUGGUAUGCUUUAUGGUGAGCUUGCGAGAUUCACAUUUCGAUUGCUGGGGAUCAAAACCAAACCAAAUAAGGGCAGAAUUCAGGGUGCACAAGCUCCAUCAUCGGAUGGGCCUGGCCAGCAGUUCGUUGAGGCACCAAAAGCUAGCAAGAACUCAUGGGAGAACGUCUGGAGCGGCGAUGCUAAGGGAAUGUGAGCUGCUAUAGGUGUGCAGUUACAGUGACAGGUUUUGUUAGACGAGGACAGUGAGUUUGCUUAUGGCUACGGGGAGAAAGGAAAUCUGCUGAUUUCUGUUCUGACGCAUCUGCCAUUUGAACCAGAGCGAGGAAACCAACAAAGGAGUAUGCUGGCGCUCCUCGUGAUAACGGCGUGGAAUUAUUAUCUGUUCUCGCAGUUGUUUUGGCCAACAGGCGGAGUGAUCAUGAUUAAUAAGCAAUAUCCCUUCCCUUUGGAACAGUUGCUGGGACCGAUAAAGUUCUUCAGCUCUUGCAGAGGGUAGUGCUGCUACUCGUAAGUGUUACUAGCUGCGUGGUGCGCGAAACUGGUCUGAAGUUGAAGCGCGUUGUUUCUUAUCCUCCUUGGUGCCUGACUGUCGUUUAUGCAGAGCCAUAACUCUGAACUUUUGCCUUUUGAAAACUGUAUGACACG
rnacentral:rRNA from 1 species